ensembl:snRNA U6 U6 spliceosomal RNA
GUGCUCACUUCAGCAGCACAUAUACUAAAAAUCGGAAUGAUACAGAGAAGAUUAGUAUGGCCCCGGCAUGAGGAUGACACACAGAUUUGUGAAGCAUUUCAUAUUUUG